UGUGUCAAUCAUUACAUUAUAUUUACAUUUCAGUUCCAUGUUUUGAACUGUAAAAUGUAACGCUAGUCCACCUUGAUCCGCAGGGUAACCUAAAUGUAUAUUCGUCGUUAUCAGACAGUGGUUUUAAAUGACAAUAUUUCGGAAAUAUUGCAAUUUGAAUCCACUGUCCAUCUACUUGAUAUCCCUAGAUACCCUGUUUUUAACAACAACGGAUAUAGGUUAACCCGUGGAUAAAGGUGAACUAGAGUUACAUGAUUGUGUUUCCAUUGUGUUCGGUGUAUUAACUGCUCACUCUACAGUCUUGCUACAUUAAUUCAACAGAUUCCAGAUAACAGAGCUCUGGACCAGAAUGUGGAUGGCUUAAUUGCAGCAUGGGAGCAGUAUGGGUCCAAGAAGGCCAUCAUCGUGUUUGUAGUUGAGGAGGAGCGAUGUGGCCGCGUCUUCAACCAGCGACUGAUGGAGUUCACCAUAAUGGAAAGAAACCCCAGUAUUACAGUGAAGAGGUACGACUUGAGGCAGAUAGAAGAGGAGGGCGA